GGCGGACGGGUGAGUAAUGCUUAGGAAUCUGCCUAUUAGUGGGGGACAACGUUCCGAAAGGGACGCUAAUACCGCAUACGUCCUACGGGAGAAAGCAGGGGAUCUUCGGACCUUGCGCUAAUAGAUGAGCCUAAGUCGGAUUAGCUAGUUGGUGGGGUAAAGGCCUACCAAGGCGACGAUCUGUAGCGGGUCUGAGAGGAUGAUCCGCCACACUGGGACUGAGACACGGCCCAGACUCCUACGGGAGGCAGCAGUGGGGAAUAUUGGACAAUGGGGGCAACCCUGAUCCAGCCAUGCCGCGUGUGUGAAGAAGGCCUUUUGGUUGUAAAGCACUUUAAGCGAGGAGGAGGCUUACCUGGUUAAUACCUGGGAUAAGUGGACGUUACUCGCAGAAUAAGCACCGGCUAACUCUGUGCCAGCAGCCGCGGUAAUACAGAGGGUGCAAGCGUUAAUCGGAUUUACUGGGCGUAAAGCGCGCGUAGGUGGCUAAUUAAGUCAAAUGUGAAAUCCCCGAGCUUAACUUGGGAAUUGCAUUCGAUACUGGUUAGCUAGAGUAUGGGAGAGGAUGGUAGAAUUCCAGGUGUAGCGGUGAAAUGCGUAGAGAUCUGGAGGAAUACCGAUGGCGAAGGCAGCCAUCUGGCCUAAUACUGACACUGAGGUGCGAAAGCAUGGGGAGCAAACAGGAUUAGAUACCCUGGUAGUCCAUGCCGUAAACGAUGUCUACUAGCCGUUGGGGCCCUUGAGGCUUUAGUGGCGCAGCUAACGCGAUAAGUAGACCGCCUGGGGAGUACGGUCGCAAGACUAAAACUCAAAUGAAUUGACGGGGGCCCGCACAAGCGGUGGAGCAUGUGGUUUAAUUCGAUGCAACGCGAAGAACCUUACCUGGCCUUGACAUACAGAGAACUUUCCAGAGAUGGAUUGGUGCCUUCGGGAACUCUGAUACAGGUGCUGCAUGGCUGUCGUCAGCUCGUGUCGUGAGAUGUUGGGUUAAGUCCCGCAACGAGCGCAACCCUUUUCCUUAUUUGCCAGCACUUCGGGUGGGAACUUUAAGGAUACUGCCAGUGACAAACUGGAGGAAGGCGGGGACGACGUCAAGUCAUCAUGGCCCUUACGGCCAGGGCUACACACGUGCUACAAUGGUCGGUACAAAGGGUUGCUACUGCGCGAGCAGAUGCUAAUCUCAAAAAGCCGAUCGUAGUCCGGAUCGCAGUCUGCAACUCGACUGCGUGAAGUCGGAAUCGCUAGUAAUCG
rnacentral:rRNA from 1 species